CCUCCUUAUGCUGAGAAGGGCACGUCGCACCGUGACACCGUCUGUGGUUAUUGCUCCCCGUUAGGUCACCCAGAGUCUGAUUGUCGCCAGAAGAAGCGAGACCAGAGGCGCUCCUCCUCUAGUGGGACUCCUGUGUCUUCCUCGACUCCGUCACUCACUGACGAGGACAUUGUUCGCCUCAAGUGUCUUCUUGAUUCCCCAGGCUCCUCGUCGACUGCUUCCGCUGUUGAUGUGACUGCAUCCUCUUCCUUCUCAUUUACCACCGACCCCGUCUUCUCCAUCCUCCUCCUCCACCUCUCCACCAUCAUCUCCAGUCCGUCGCCCUCUCUCACCGUUUCCUCUCCACUAUACUCGUCGAUCUCGUACUGA
rnacentral:rRNA from 1 species